rnacentral:rRNA from 1 species
CCUACGGGUGGCAGCAGUGGGGGAUAUUGCACAAUGGGGGGAACCCUGAUGCAGCGACGCCGCGUGGGUGAAGGAGUGCUUCGGCAUGUAAAGCUCUAUCGGCAGGGAAGAAGCAAGACGGUACCUGACCAAGAAGCCCCGGCGAACUACGUGCCAGCAGCCGCGGUAAUACGUAGGGGGCGAGCGUUAUCCGGAUUCACGGGGUGUAAAGGGAGCGUAGAUGGCCAUGCAAGCCAGGGGUGAAAGCCCGGGGCCCAACCCCGGGACUGCCCUUGGAACUGUGCGGCUAGAGUGCGGGAGGGGCAGGCGGAAUUCCUGGUGUAGCGGUGAAAUGCGUAGAUAUCAGGAGGAACACCGGCGGCGAAGGCGGCCUGCUGGACCGCGACUGACGUUGAGGCUCGAAAGCGUGGGGAGCGAACAGGAUUAGAUACCCCAGUAGUC